rnacentral:rRNA from 1 species
CCUACGGGAGGCAGCAGUGAGGAAUAUUGGUCAAUGGGCGAGAGCCUGAACCAGCCAAGUCGCGUGAAGGAUGACGGCCCUACGGGUUGUAAACUUCUUUUGUCAGGGAGCAAUUGAGUCCACGUGUGGGCUUCGCGAGAGUACCUGAAGACAAAGCCUCGGCUAACUCCGUGCCAGCAGCCGCGGUAAUACGGAGGAUGCGAGCGUUAUCCGGCUUUAUUGGGUUUAAAGGUUGCGUAUGCGGAGUAUCAAGUCAGCGGUAAAAAUUCGGGGCUCAACCCCGUCGUGCCGUUGAAACUGAUGUUCUUGAGUGGGCGAGAAGUAUGCGGAAUGAGUGGUGUAGCGGUGAAAUGCAUAGAUAUCACGCAGAACUCCGAUUGCGAAGGCAGCAUACCGGAGCGCAACUGACGCUGAAGCACGAAAGCGUGGGUAUCGAACAGGAUUAGAUACCCGUGUAGUC